GACGAACGCUGGCGGCGUGCUUAACACAUGCAAGUCGAACGGAAAGGCCCUGCUUUUGUGGGGUGCUCGAGUGGCGAACGGGUGAGUAACACGUGAGUAACCUGCCCUUGACUUUGGGAUAACUUCAGGAAACUGGGGCUAAUACCGGAUAGGAGCUCCUGCUGCAUGGUGGGGGUUGGAAAGUUUCGGCGGUUGGGGAUGGACUCGCGGCUUAUCAGCUUGUUGGGGGGGUAGUGGCUUACCAAGGCUUUGACGGGUAGCCGGCCUGAGAGGGUGACCGGCCACAUUGGGACUGAGAUACGGCCCAGACUCCUACGGGAGGCAGCAGUGGGGAAUAUUGCACGAUGGGCGGAAGCCUGAUGCAGCAACGCCGCGUGCGGGAUGACGGCCUUCGGGUUGUAAACCGCUUUCGCCUGUGACGAAGCGUGAGUGACGGUAAUGGGUAAAGAAGCACCGGCUAACUACGUG
rnacentral:rRNA from 1 species